CCUACGGGUGGCAGCAGUGGGGAAUAUUGGGCAAUGGGCGCAAGCCUGACCCAGCAACGCCGCGUGAAGGCAGAAGGCUUUCGGGUUGUAAACUUCUUUUUUCAGGGACGUAGCAAGUGACGGUACCUGACGAAUAAGCCACGGCUAACUACGUGCCAGCCGCCGCGGUAAUACGUAGGUUGCAAUCGUUAUCCGGAUUUACUGGGUGUAAAGGGCGUGUCGGCGGGACUGCAAGUCAGAUGUGAAAACCACGGGCUCAACCUGUGGACUGCAUUGGAAACUGGAGUUCUUGAGUACUGGGGAGGCAGACGGAAUUCCUAGUGUAGCGGUGAAAUGCGUAGAUAUCAGGAGGAACACCAGUGGCGAAGGCGGUCUGCUGGACAGCAACUGACGCUGAGGCGCGAAAGCGUGGGGAGCAAACAGGAUUAGAUACCCGAGUAGUC
rnacentral:rRNA from 1 species